rnacentral:rRNA from 1 species
UAAUACGUAGGGUGCAAGCGUUAAUCGGAAUUACUGGGCGUAAAGCGUGCGCAGGCGGCUUUGCAAGACAGAUGUGAAAUCCCCGGGCUUAACCUGGGAACUGCAUUUGUGACUGCAUGGCUGGAGUGCGGCAGAGGGGGAUGGAAUUCCGCGUGUAGCAGUGAAAUGCGUAGAUAUGCGGAGGAACACCGAUGGCGAAGGCA